UGCAGAAUCCCGUGAACCAUCGAGUCUUUGAACGCAAGUUGCGCCCUAGGCCUUAUGGUUGAGGGCACGUCUGCCUGGGCGUCACGC
rnacentral:rRNA from 1 species